UCUCAUCACCUUGUGCUGAAGUCAGCAGCACAAUAGUGCAACAGAUUCUAGUGAGUCCUCUGAAUGACUGUCCUCAAUGUCAAUAUACGCUUUUGUCAGCCACCCCUACGACAGUCAUCGCCAACCACACGUCUGCUGAUGGACUCAAGAGCGCAAGCUUAAUCUUCUCCUUCAGUCCCAUGAUGAUCGGUGGCUGCACUGUGAUUGCGCUGUCGUCUUCUCCUCGAGACACCAGUGUCAUUGUUAGUGGAGACAACUACUGCAACCUCUACUACCUUCUGUCAACGAGUGGACUCGCCUCAACACCAGGCUUCAAAGACAUGACCAAUGCAUGGGCUUGCCUGGGUUAUGGACUCACCUGUUAGAACUCACAAGCCUUAAAAGUUCAAACAUGUGUCUUGACCUGUUACUACUAUAGUAGCAUAGACCAGUGGUUGACAGAAGGUUGCAGGGAUGUGGUUAAUGUGGUGAUAUAAUCAAAGGAAACUGAGCAGAAAAGCAGUUUGCAGGAUGUGUUGUUUGUUUGUGUUAUCAUGUCUGAUUUUUAUUGGAUGAACAUGAAUAUUCUGACACACUGGACUGAAUGUAAAGUAAACCCCCUUUUAAGACACUGAUAGAAUGUCAAUAAAAGGUUGCAAUUCAA